rnacentral:rRNA from 1 species
UACGUAGGGCGCGAGCGUUGUCCGGAAUUAUUGGGCGUAAAGAGCUCGUAGGCGGCUUGUCACGUCGGGUGUGAAAGACCGGGGCUUAACUCCGGUUCUGCAUUCGAUACGGGCUAGCUAGAGUGUGGUAGGGGAGAUCGGAAUUCCUGGUGUAGCGGUGAAAUGCGCAGAUAUCAGGAGGAACACCGGUGGCGAAGGCGGAUCUCUGGGCCAUUACUGACGCUGAGACGCGAAAGCGUGGGGAACAAACAGG